UGAAUUUUAUUCUUGUGGAUAAUGAUAGGUGUUAUUACAUCAGGUGUAGGCUAGGCUAGAAGCUGAAACAGUUAAAAAAGCGAAAAUUGCAACACCCGAAGCUAAGAGGAAAGCAGAAAAAGAAGUUGCAGCUGCCACGGAGAAGAUGGAAUCUCAGUCAUUGAUGAAUACUCCUCCGAAAGCUAGCAACGUUCAAAAGGAAGCCAUUAGAUAACUUGUAAAACCCGUACCUGAUGGACAAAAACAUUUGGCAGGUACCAUCAUUGGAACACCACAAUGAAGUUAAGGGAGAGAGUAUGGAUCUAAUUAGAUAUAUUGACAGUAACUUUGAAGGACCUUCACUUUUCCCAGAUGAUCCUUCCAAGAGAAAAUGUUCUCCCACUUUGACUCCUUUUACAAAGUUGUAAUUUCAUCUUUCAAGGAAGACACAGUAACUGAUGCAAGUAAGUUUUAACCCCUUUAGAAUCACAUACUUGCUUUGACAUAGAAGCUUUAAGUCUGAGAUGUGUUGUUCGUAUAGUUGCAGCUUUUGAUUCCUCAAACAGUCCAUACUACUACUCUUUCUCCAAAUUUUCACGACUUUCUCAACUCCUCUUCAAUUUUCCUUAGUUUCUUCUGCUCUUUUCUCUUGCGGUUCAGUUUAUGUACUUCGCCAAAGUAGUUAUUGGUUAGUUAUCUUCUCCCCCCGGAUUUUCGCUUCCUCCAGCCCAACUUUUGUGUAUUUCCUUGAGAAUAAGGGCCUUUGUUGUAUACUAUGUGUUUGAGAACAAUUCUUUAAGGAAUUAGACUUUCUAAUUGAU